AAACACAAAGGUUUGGUCCUAGCCUUUUUAUUUGUUGUUAGUAAAUUUAUACAUGCAAGUAUCCGCCCACCAGUGAGAAUGCCCUUCAGAUCGUUAUCAGAAGGGGCUGGUAUCAAGCACACACCAGUAUAGCUCAGUAAUGGCUUGUUCCACCACACCCCCAUGGGAUACAGCAGUAACAAAAAUUUAGCUAUUAAUGAAAGUUAGACUAAGUUAUACUACAAUAGGAUGGUCAAUUUUGUGCCAGCCACCACGGUAAUAGGAUUAACCCGAAUUAAUAAAUAACGGCGUAAAGCGUGUUAAGAGCAAGAUAAAAUAAAGUUAAAUUUUACCUAAGCUGUAAAAAGCCAAUGAUAAAGUGAAGACAAUCUACGAAAGUGACUUUAACAACUCUGAAUACAUAACAGCUAAGACACAAACAGGGAUUAGAUACUCCACUAUGCUUAGCCCUAAUCCUUGAUAACUACUAACAAAGUUAUUCGCCAGAGAACUACUAGCUAAAGUUUAAAACUCAAAGGACUUGGUGAUGCUUUAUAUCCACCUAGAGGAGCCUGUCCCCAUAAUAGAUAAACCCCGAUAAACCUUACCACCACUUGCUAAUUCAGUCUAUACACCACCAUCUUCAGCAAACCCUUAAAAGGUACUAAAGGAAGCUCAAUAAAAAAAGGAAGCUCAAUAGUUGCCAUAAAAAAGUUAGGUCAAGGUGUAGCCUAUGUGGUGGUCCAAGAUGGGCUACAUUUUCUACCUCAGGAUAUACUAACAAACAUCAUUAUGAAAUAAUGACUGAAGGAUGAUUUUGUAGUAAAUUAAGAAUAGAGAGCUUAAUUGAAUUAGGCCUUGAAGAAUGCACACACCACUCCUCACCCUCCUCAAAUGUUUUUAACUACGUAAUCAUAUGAUAAGCCUAAACAAGUAUGGGAGGAGACAAAUCGUAACAAGGUAAGCAUACUGGAAAGUGUGCUUGGAUAACUCAAAGU
rnacentral:ncRNA from 1 species